GGGUGAAUGAUGCUAGCAUCCCAUUUAUUCUUUUCUCAGGAGUAGAAACCCUGAACAAAACUGCCUCUACUGGUUCAUUUGAACAUGGAAGUGUUGCUUGUUUACUUAGCCUGAUUGAGACGGCCCUGAGCCAGUACUGUCAUUACUUCUGUACUGAGUACCUGGCUUCUUCUGGAGGAGAAGAUGUGGUGUGAAGAGAGAGAAUUGCUGGUUGGGGGAGUUGGUUCCUGGCACUAACUCCUUGAUUGGAGGACCAUGAGAAAUCAUACCUUGUUAUUAAAUGUAUCCUUCUUCAUUGGCCAGUCUAUGCGUUGAGGUGGCUCCAAAACACAUUUGUUUACUGGCUAACCCUCUACAAAGGUUAUCUUGAGUCCUUCUUGGAAAGAAGAAAAAAUAAUUUUCACUGUUGGAGACUACAACAGCUGAAGAACUUUUAAAUUCCUGGAAGCAUCUCAGAAAAAAAGUAAUAUAAAGACUUUCUUCCAUGUAGAAAUAAAAACUGAGAGUCAGUUAAAUAUACUUUGAUAACAGCUGAAAUUCACGGGAUGUCACUAAUGUAUAUUUAUUGUUGCAUUUCUUUUUUUUUCCUUUAUUACAUUUCUUUAAAUCUGGUGUGCAUGAUAUUCCUUAAAACUAUUGUGGCAACAUCAGUAAUAUAUACUUAAUGCAUAUGUGUAGUUUUUAUUUUGCUGGAAAGUUACUUUUUUUUUUUUAGUAGAAAAAUUCUAAGCGAAUUAUAGAUGAGGUGUUCAGUGACAUCUGUUUUCCACACUGGGAGAGCUUAAUUGCCUGGUUUGUAUUCUACGAGGCCUCAUUGUGAACCUAAUGGCAGCUACCCAAAUUGGAGAUGCAGGGCCUGGGAGGGACCAGCUAGUUGCUGGGAUGCGCGCCCUGCAAGUUCAACCCCAUUAAGUGAUGGCAAAUGUCUCAAGAUGCUUUGCUGUUCUGGCCACUUGGCAAGGAAGCCUGGUCUAUAUUUGGAAUAUAAUUUUUGAAGGCGUCGCUCCUCUUGUAUUCUCCCCUGUGCUACAUUCCCUCUAUGGGAUUGUAAAAGUCAAGUAGCUGGCAUGAAUCAACACUUUGUCACUAGAAACAGAGGGAUUUCCAUAAUAUACCAGGUGGUGAUGUCAAAAAUAGCGACACCACAAUUUUAG